rnacentral:rRNA from 2 species
UGCCCUAGUAACGGCGAGUGAAGCGGCAACAGCUCAAAUUUGAAAUCUGGCGCAAGCCCGAGUUGUAAUUUGUAGAGGAUGCUUCUAGGUAGCGACCGGUCUAAGUUCCUUGGAACAGGACGUCAUAGAGGGUGAGAAUCCCGUAUGUGACCGGCCCGCACCUUCUACGUAGCUCCUUCGACGAGUCGAGUUGUUUGGGAAUGCAGCUCUAAAUGGGAGGUAAAUUUCUUCUAAAGCUAAAUACCGGCCAGAGACCGAUAGCGCACAAGUAGAGUGAUCGAAAGAUGAAAAGCACUUUGGAAAGAGAGUUAAAAAGCACGUGAAAUUGUUGAAAGGGAAGCGCUUACAACCAGACUUCUGGGCGGUGUUCCGCCGGUCUUUUGACCGGUCUACUCGCCGUCCCGAGGCCAACAUCAUCUGGGACCGCUGGAUAAGACCUCAGGAAUGUAGCUUCCCUCGGGAAGUGUUAUAGCCUGUGGUGAUGCAGCGCGUCUCGGGUGAGGUCCGCGCUUCGGCAAGGAUGUUGGCGUAAUGGUUGUCAGCGGCCCGUCUUGAAACACGGACCAAGGAGUCUAACAUCUAUGCGAGUGUUCGGGUGUCAAACCCCUACGCGUAAUGAAAGUGAACGGAGGUGGGAAGCGUAAGCUGCACCAUCGACCGAUCCUGAUGUCCUCGGAUGGAUUUGAGUAAGAGCAUAGCUGUUGGGACCCGAAAGAUGGUGAACUAUGCCUGAAUAGGGUGAAGCCAGAGGAAACUCUGGUGGAGGCUCGCAGCGGUUCUGACGUGCAAAUCGAUCGUCAAAUUUGGGUAUAGGGGCGAAAGACUAAUCGAACCAU